CAAUAGCGUAUAUUAAAGUUGUUGCAGUUAAAAAGCUCGUAGUCGGAUUUUGGCAUCACGCCGAACUGUCUGCCGAUUGGUAAGCACGGUUUGGCGGUUGCUUCCUUCCGGAGGCUCGUUUCCUUCUUAACUGAAGGGUUCGUAGGUUCCGGUUCUUUUACUUUGAGAAAAUUAGAGUGUUCAAAGCAGGCCUAUGCUCUGAAUAGGUUAGCAUGGAAUAAUGGAAUAGGACUUUGGUUCUAUUUUGUUGGUUUCUAGGACCGAAGUAAUGAUUAAUAGGGACAGUUGGGGGCAUUCAUAUUCCAUUGUCAGAGGUGAAAUUCUUGGAUUAACGGAAGAUGAACUUCUGCGAAAGCAUCUGCCAAGGAUGUUUUCAUUG
rnacentral:rRNA from 1 species